rnacentral:rRNA from 1 species
UACGUAGGGUGCAAGCGUUGUCCGGAUUUAUUGGGCGUAAAGAGCUCGUAGGCGGUGUGUCGCGUCGGCCGUGAAAACCUGGGGCUCAACUCUGGGCGUGCGGUCGAUACGGGCAUCACUUGAGUUCGGCAGGGGAGACUGGAAUUCCUGGUGUAGCGGUGAAAUGCGCAGAUAUCAGGAGGAACACCGGUGGCGAAGGCGGGUCUCUGGGCCGAUACUGACGCUGAGGAGCGAAAGCAUGGGUAGCGAACAGG